UUAGAUCAGAAGUGAGAAUGUUGACAUGAGUAGCGAUAAAGAGGGUGAGAGACCCUCUCGCCGUAAGUCCAAGGGUUCCUGCUUAAAGCUAAUCUGAGCAGGGUAAGCCGGCCCCUAAGGCGAGGCCGAAAGGCGUAGUCGAUGGGAACCACGUUAAUAUUCGUGGGCCAGGAGGAAGUGACGGAUCUCAAAGAUUGUCUGCCCUUAUCGGAUUGGGUGGGCCGUUCAGAGGUUCCAGGAAAUAGCCCUCCAUGAGACCGUACCCUAAACCGACACAGGUGGACUGGUAGAGUAUACCAAGGCGCUUGGGAGAACCACAUUUAAGGAACUCGGCAAAAUGCCUCCGUAAGUUCGCGAGAAGGAGGCCCUGUCUUUACGCAAGUAGAGGCAGGGGGCGCAAACUAGGGGGUGGCGACUGUUUACUUAAAACACAGGGCUGUGCGAAGCCGUAAGGCGACGUAUACAGUCUGACGCCUGCCCGGUGCUGGAAGGUUAAAAGGAGGGGUGCAAGCUCUGAAUUGAAGCCCCAGUAAACGGCGGCCGUAACUAUAACGGUCCUAGGGUAGCGAAAUUCCUUGUCGGGUAAGUUCCGACCUGCACGAAUGGCGUAACGAUCUCCCCGCUGUCUCAAAUGUGGACUCAGCGAAAUUGAACUGUGUGUCAAGAUGCACACUACCCGCGGUUAGACGGAAAGACCCCAUGCACCUUUACUCCAGCUUUGCACUGGUAUCAGGAUUGUGAUGUGCAGGAUAGGUGGUAGGCAUCGAAGCGGGGACGCCAGUCUUCGUGGAGCCUCCCUUGAGAUACCACCCUUCGCACUCUUGAUAUCUAACCGCGGUCCCUUAUCGGGAUCCGGGACCCUGCAUAGUGGGGAGUUUGACUGGGGCGGUCGCCUCCCAAACAGUAACGGAGGCGCGCGAAGGUAGGCUCAGACCGGUCGGAAAUCGGUCGUUGAGUGCAAUGGCAGAAGCCUGCCUGACUGCAAGUCUGACAAGACGAGCAGAGACGAAAGUCGGUCAUAGUGAUCCGGUGGUCCCAAGUGGGAGGGCCAUCGCUCAACGGAUAAAAGGUACGCUGGGGAUAACAGGCUGAUGAUGCCCAAGAGUCCAUAUCGACGGCAUCGUUUGGCACCUCGAUGUCGGCUCAUCUCAUCCUGGGGCUGGAGCAGGUCCCAAGGGUAUGGCUGUUCGCCAUUUAAAGAGGUACGUGAGCUGGGUUUAGAACGUCGUGAGACAGUUCGGUCCCUAUCUGCCGUGGGUGUAGGAGAUUUGAGAAGAGUUGCCCCUAGUACGAGAGGACCGGGGUGAACGAACCACUGGUGGACCAGUUAUCGUGCCAACGGUAGUGCUGGGUAGCUAUGUUCGGACAGGAUAACCGCUGAAGGCAUCUAAGCGGGAAGCCCCCUUCAAAACAAGAUCUCCCUUGAGAGCCGUGGAAGACCACCACGUCGAUAGGCCAGAGAUGUAAGUGCAGCAAUGCAUUCAGUUGACUGGUACUAAUUGCUC
rnacentral:rRNA from 1 species